UAGAGUUUGAUCCUGGCUCAGAACGAACGCUGGCGGCGUGCUUAACACAUGCAAGUCCUACGUGAAAGGGGAGCAAUACCCCGGUAAGGCGGCGAACGGGUGAGUAAUACAUGGGAAUCUGCCCUGGAGAUGGGGAUAUCCUUCCGAAAGGAGGGCUAAUACCGAAUAUCGUCCGGGUUUCGAGAGGGACUCGGGGAAAGGGAGGCCUCUGGCAACAUGCUUUCGCUCCAGGAGGAGCCCAUGGCCCAUCAGCUAGUUGGUAGGGUAACGGCCUACCAAGGCGAAGACGGGUAGCUGGUCUGAGAGGACGAUCAGCCACACUGGCACUGAGACACGGGCCAGACUCCUACGGGAGGCAGCAGUGGGGAAUAUUGGACAAUGGGCGAAAGCCUGAUCCAGCAAUGCCGCGUGGAUGAAGAAGGUCUUCGGAUUGUAAAGUCCUUUUGGCGGGGACGAUGAUGACGGUACCCGCAGAAUAAGCUCCGGCUAACUUCGUGCCAGCAGCCGCGGUAAUACGAAGGGGGCUAGCGUUGCUCGGAAUGACUGGGCGUAAAGGGCGCGUAGGCGGACGGCACAGUCAGGCGUGAAAUUCCUGGGCUCAACCUGGGGACUGCGUCUGAGACGUGUUGUCUUGAGUAUGGAAGAGGGUUGUGGAAUUUCCAGUGUAGAGGUGAAAUUCGUAGAUAUUGACAGGAACACCAGUGGCGUAAGCGGCUAUCUGGACGGGUAUUGACGCUGAGGCACGAAAGCGUGGGGAUCAAACAGGAUUAGAUACCCUGGUAGUCCACGCCGUAAACGAUGUGUGCUUGUCGCUGGGAGGUUUACCUUUCGGUGACGGAGCUAACGCAUUAAGCACACCGCCUGGGAAGUACGGUCGCAAGAUUAAAACUCAAAGGAAUUGACGGGGACCCGCACAAGCGGUGGAGUAUGUGGUUUAAUUCGUCGCAACGCGAAGAACCUUACCAGGCCUUGACAUGCCCUCUAUGAUUCCCGGAAACGGGUUUCUUCACUUCGGGUGGGAGGUGCACAGGUGCUGCAUGGCUGUCGUCAGCUCGUGUCGUGAGAUGUUGGGUUAAGUCCCGCAACGAGCGCAACCCCUUUUGUCAGUUGCCAUCAGGUAAUGCUGGGAACUCUGACGAUACUGCCGGUGAUAAGCCGGAGGAAGGCGGGGAUGACGUCAAGUCCUCAUGGCCCUUACGGCCUGGGCUACACACGUACUACAAUGGCGGUGACAGUGGGCUGCAAGUUCGCAAGGACAAGCAAAUCCCAAAAAGCCGCCUCAGUUCAGAUUGUGCUCUGCAACUCGAGCACAUGAAGUUGGAAUCGCUAGUAAUCGUGGAUCAGCAUGCCACGGUGAAUACGUUCCCGGGUCUUGUACACACCGCCCGUCAAGUGAUGGGAAUUGGUUCCACCUGAAGCCGGGGCGCUAACCUUCGGGAAGCAGCCGACCACGGUGGGGUCAGUGACUGGCACUAAGUCGUAACAAGGUAACC
rnacentral:rRNA from 1 species